rnacentral:rRNA from 1 species
AGGCCUAUACAGGUGCUGCAUGGCUGUCGUCAGCUCGUGUCGUGAGAUGUUGGGUUAAGUACCCGCAACGAGCGCAACCCCUCGUCUCUAGUUACCAUCAUUCAGUUGGGGACUCUAGAGAUACUGCCAAGGUUAACUUGGAGGAAGGUGGGGAUGACGUCAAGUCCUCAUGGCCUUUAUGUCCAGGGCUACACACGUGCUACAAUGGGCGGUACAGAGGGUAGCGAUAUCGCGAGAUGGAGCCAAUCCCAAAAAGCCGUUCCCAGUUCGGAUUGGAGUCUGCAACUCGACUCCAUGAAGUUGGAAUCGCUAGUAAUCGCGGAUCAGCACGCCGCGGUGAAUACGUUCCCGGGCCUU